rnacentral:rRNA from 1 species
UACGGAGGGGGCAAGCGUUGUUCGGAGUUACUGGGCGUAAAGCGCGUGUAGGCGGCAGGGCAAGUCUGGUGUGAAAGCCCGGGGCUCAACCCCGGAAGUGCAUUGGAAACUGCUCUGCUUGAGUACCGGAGAGGAAGGGGGAAUUCCCGGUGUAGCGGUGAAAUGCGUAGAUAUCGGGAGGAAGGCCGGUGGCGAAGGCGGCCUCCUGGGCCUGCACUGACGCUGAGGCGAGAAAGCGUGGGGAGCAAACAGG